rfam:Camelus ferus unplaced genomic scaffold scaffold743, whole genome shotgun sequence.
GAUGGUAAAGCUCAGAGGUAUAGCACAUGCUUAGCAUGCAUGAGGUCCUGGGUUCAAUCCCCAGUGCCUCCA